rnacentral:lncRNA from 1 species
UCAAGAUCUGUUUAAUUUCUCUUUGGGGGUUUUAAUUCUCUCCAUCUAUUUUUAAAUAUAUAAUAGAAUUGAUUUUUUAUCAUCAAUUUUCAUACCUUUUUCCUAAUAUCAAUUGAAAUAUUCAUGCUUAAACCAAAGCAUUAAAAUUAAAAAACAUCAACAUUUCAUUAACCGUGAAAAAUACUAUGACAAAGUAGUAUCAUAUGUCAUCAAGCUAAAUUAGAACAUAGUUAACCGUCUAUAUUAGUCAGCUAUUACAUUGUCCUAAUACAUCCACUUCAAUUAAAAUGAAUCUCAAUGGUUGUCACUGAAAUUACUAGCACCAGAAGAUCUUCUUGCAUCCGUCGGUGAAACAGGUCCACUAGCUGCAUCACUUGGCUGCAAUAAAAAGUAAAAAAAAAAAUACAAGUAUUAAGAGGAGUAUCAGGAAACAAUUCAUUGAGAUAAAAUAUAUAUUGUCUACUUAAACCAAUAAAAAAGACUGAAACAGGACAAGGUACGAAGCCUCUAGUCUAAAAGGUAGACGUUAUGCAACACAAACACAAAGAAAAUAAAGCAUUUGUUUAAUAAGUGAUACAACACUUGGCAGAAUUCAUGUAGACUAUUACUUCUUCCUUUUGAAUUACUAUCAUCUAACUUCGACCAGAAUGUUCUGUUAUAGUGAUCCUUUGAACAAAGAAUUGGUUUUCUGCAGGUUUUGGGGGCUGGCUUGAAGUAAAAUUGUAAAAUACUAGCUGGUUUUAGAGCUGAAAUUGACAUGUAUGAAAAAUAAAAUUGUACAAUACACCAAAAAUAAAAGAACUUAUCAUUUACCGUUGUAGGAGAAGCAAAGAUCCCAGAAAAUUGUUCUGGUAUUGACCUUUCCUUCAUUAUCAUGUAUAAUUUGAGAGUAUUCAUCAAUUGAUUGUACUUCUCUUGGCAUCCAGAAGAAGAACAUCCAACAUUAUUACUCACAAUUCUUAUAUUACCAAGACGAAGAUUUGUCUCUCUGAAAGUAUUGCUUGGAGUAGCUCCUAAUCCCAAACAUCCCACCCUUCUACGAUGCUCUUUGCCUAGCACCUUACGAACAACAUCAUUUGGAGAAAUUUCAGACUCAUCCACUGUACUUUCACUCACUGCUAGCUCAAUUUUUUCCUAAACACAAUACCCAUCAAAAAAAUCUCAGCGAACAUUAUAACUGUAUAUUUUACCGCCUGAAUCAGUAACCCGAAAAAGAAAGGUCGCUACUGCUAUUGCCGACACUAUUAAUCUGACAAUUACCCUAAUACUGUAAUACUAUAUUAAAUUCCAGGUUUCAAAUGUGAAAAUUAGAAAAAAAGCAACUAAAGAAGAAAAUGAAAAACACAUUAUUAAUGGUAAGCAUGUAUGUAGUAAUUGUUGAGACAUAUCUAAAGGCCCACAGCACAGUUAAAGGCUACACACCCACCCUAUAUUCAAAACGUUGUUAUCACUUUCUCCUCGUUGAAAACUCUCUUUUCCCACUUUGCCCCACGACUACCACACUUUCCUUCACAUGUUUUUGUCAUGUUCAAUAAAUUACAACUACACCAAAUUAAAUAAAAUACAGUGCCAGUUUAUUAGUAGAUCAUUUUCAUGCAUUUCUCAUGGACCGGGCACAAGGCAACUUUACAACACAGUAAGAGUCAAUAGGACCAAACAAAAAUCAAUUUAUUUGUCUAAGAAAGUUGUGGAUAACAACUUCUUUGCCAUUGCUAUUGGAGAAGAUUAAAUAAAAGAUAUCAGCUUGAAAUCCUAAAAAACCCAAAAAAAAAUGAAGAGAAAAGACUCUUAACAUAUUCCAAAAGCAAGAUUAACAUAGUCAGUUCUCUUUUAUUAGACAGAAAAUAUGAAUACAAAAUAUUAAGCAAUAAAUACAUACAACAAAAAGCUAUCUAUAAUCAUAAACACUACAAAAUUGAAAAUUUCGCAACAGAGAAUGAUUUGCAUAGUCAUAGUCACAUGUCCCAACAAUAAUAAGUAGAUUCAAAGACAUGAAAGUCAAACAAACUAUAAGCAUCAUGAUAUAAAAUAAAUUUACUGUAAGUUAUCAGAAGGAAACAAUUUACUGUAAAAUAUCUGUCACAAAGCAUCUAAUUUGGAGAAAUUAAUAGGAUAAAAGUACUUGAUCUAAAAUAUAAUGAUUUGAUUAUGUCAUUAAUCUAAAUAUUCAUAUAUAAAGAAUCUGUUAUUUAAAUUCCUUUACUAUAUAAGAAAAUAUGUGGCAUAUAAAUACAAAAAUCUCAUAGAACAUAGAAAUUUUGGAAAACUCCUAUAGAUCAGGAAAAAAAUAAGCAUAAAUAUGGAGCAACUCUUGUCCAACACUAUUUAUAAGUAUAUCCGAAGUUAUUUAUGGACUAAACGUGAAUUGAUUUCAACAAUAUAUCUAACCAGACUAAUCAAAUAUUAAGAAACAAUGCACCACUUGCUCUCUCUUUUCCUUCUCAUCCACACUGCAUUCAACUAUAAUUUGAGAAUAUAACUUGGUUGAUUGAAUUGAAUGCAACACUACCCACCAACCAAUGCCACAGGUAAGUAGACAACUACCUCAUUUACCCUCUCUAUUUACUCCUAUUCACUGACAGUAUCUGCACGUAACCACUCUGUCGCUGCUCCAUGAUAUAUUUGUUAUGUACUUUCAUCCUAUAUAUACUCAACGUUGUUCCUCAGUCUUUAUUAUAGAAUACAGAAUUACAACAUUAUAUAUGAUGGAUACAAAUAGAGCAGGACUUGAUGAGUGCAGCGAGGAGAUCAAGAAAAUGAAGAUAAUGGAGUUAAAUGAUACUGGUUCUGAGGAAAAAAGUAGAUGUGAUAGAGGUAGAAGCUAUGAAAUGGUUCUAAGAAUGAUGGGAUUAAUUUUCACACUAGUAGCGGCUAUUGUGGCUGCCACCAACAAAGAUACUCAGGAUGUUCCCAUAACUCUUGUAGACGGCUUACCUCCUUUGAGCAGAACCUUUUUCUCAAUUACUUUUUAAAUAGUUUGAAAGUUAACUAUGUGAUCUAUAAUAUUCUUACAUAGUUUUUCUAAGUAUGUAAAUUUUAUUUCAAAAUACUUGAAGAUUCUAUGUCUGCAUGCUCCGAAUCAAGCCAUUCCAAAAAUCCAACUAAAGUUCUUUUAGAAAAAAUGAAAGUGACCCAACAACAACCCACAACUCACAAGAAAAAUUGAAAGUGAAAAAUAUUUUCCCUCUCUAAUUUCACCUAAAAAUCAAAUUUACCCACCAACUCGAAGGAGCAUAAUUUCCUGUGCAUUUCUAGCCUUUUCUUUAUAAACAAGCCUUUGUUUUCACUAAUAAAGGACACAAUAAGCAGAAAGAAGUUUGACAGGAUGUAACAAGCGGAUACUAGGAUCAAAGAGAAUCACCAUCGAACAGAAAUAGAACAUCUUCAACACUCCACAAAGGCAUCUGUUGUUAUUCAGAAUAUCAUUGCACUAAUAAAAACAACAAUUGUGCAAUUAAUUCCUUAAGUAUCAAUUUUUUAUGUUUUAAUUUCAGCACUCCCCAAACAACUAUCAAAUUAAGAAACAGAAAGAACAGAUAAAAGUAAGAAAUUAUAGAAACGAAACAUAUUCGGUACUCAAACAGGGGGCAUAAACCCUAGUAAAAAUCACAUAAAACCAGUAUUAAAGAGAUAGAGGGAGAGAGAACGGAAGCAAACCCCAGAUGAGAAAACAAUUAAAAGAAAUGUAUCUCGAAAUAAGCUUAGGUGCAGAUAAAGAGCUUGCCUUGAGUGGUUAGCUUUCUGAUUGGAUCUCUUGUACACGAUGAGAAUCGGGCGGAAGUCUUCUGAUUGCCUUGAAUAGAUUUCAAUUAGGCAGAAGUUUUAAGGGAUUUCAAUCAAAACCAAGAGAUUGUGGUUUCCUGCACAGAGAGAGAGGGGGAGUCGAUUAGGCGGAAGUGUUAAAGGCGGAUGUUUCUAGACUGAAAAGGUUGGGGAAAAAAGGAGGGAGUGUGAAAUAAAUUGGGCGGGCGGAUGUUUCUAGACUGAAAAGGUUGGGGAAAAAAGGAGGGAGUGUGAAAUAAAUUGAGCGCUUUUUUUUUAGGGUUGCGGAAGUUUAUAACUCCCUUAAAUUGUAUAAUUUU